UGCAAGAGAAUUACAAGUAUGUGGAGUAGAAGCGUGUGAGGAAGGCAAAGUAAGCGUGCCAAAAGGGUUGUGGUCAAUCACGUGCAGCCACCAACUCAUUUAUAUAUACGCAUGGAGAGCAAAGCAGCACAAACUCAAAUCACCCAACAAAUGAAAAUUCCUACUUGCAACUCAUCAAACCACCCAAUAAGACUAAUAUAAACUUAGUGUAUAAAAUUAUUAUUUAUUAUGCUCUAUUUUAAAAUUGUCUUUUAGUAUCUUAUGUUUUUCACUGUCCACUUGAUCAACUCACACUUUUUAACUCCUACUUCUUAUGUUUAAUAUUGGUGUAUGCUAUUUUAGUACCGUUAACACUUUUUAAAACUGAUGCAUGUUAUUUCAGUAACGGAAUGUAUUGAAGUAGUUUUUCUAAGGAAGCAAAGAAAAAAGUGAUUUUUGUACUUCUUACAAGCUUUUUGUAUUGUUGAUUGUUGUGUGACACACAAUAUAAGAGAGUAUUGACAACAAAGUGGGACAGAAAAGGAGAUUCUUUUGUACAAAGUAUAUGCGAUCAACCUUUAACUAAAAAAUGGAGGGAAAUUUUGAGAUGAAGUCAUCAAAGUUUAAAAGAAUAUGUGUGUUUUGUGGGAGUAGACAAGGCAAGAAGAUUAGCUAUCAAGAAGCUGCCAUUGAACUUGGCAAAGAAUUGGUGUCAAGGAACAUUGACUUGGUAUAUGGAGGAGGAAGUAUAGGAUUAAUGGGUCUAGUCUCUCAAGCUGUUCAUAGUGGAGGUCGGCAUGUUAUAGGAGUGAUUCCCAAGACUCUCAUGCCUCGAGAGAUAACAGGUGAAACUGUAGGGGAAGUCAAGGCUGUGGCAGAUAUGCAUCAAAGGAAAGCUGAGAUGGCUCGCCAUUCUGAUGCCUUUAUUGCAUUACCAGGUGGUUAUGGAACUCUAGAGGAGCUACUAGAGGUGAUUACUUGGGCUCAACUCGGCAUUCAUGACAAACCGGUGGGUUUACUGAAUGUAGAUGGAUACUACAAUUCCCUUCUCACUUUCAUUGAUCAAGCAGUGGAAGAAGGGUUUAUCAGUCCUAAUGCACGUCAUAUUAUCGUUUCUGCUCCGACAGCUGCAGAAUUGGUAAAGAAAUUGGAGGUAAUAAAACGUAUUUUGUUGGGAUUUAUCGGUCAAUUUGUACUUGUACAAACGACCUGUUUGGUAACCGAUACUAAAUGAUGGGAAUGAGAAUAAUUUGAAGUGUAAAUUUUCAUUAUAUGUAUCCUGUCAUUUCCGUGGUAAUGAAAGUUUGAUCAUCAAAAAGUUUUUUUUCACAAUCUUUCAUUACCGCUUAAUACCACAUUUUGAAAUGGUAAUGCAUUGAAAUGAAUUUUGAAACGAAAAUGAAAUCUUUAAAGGGGAAUAAGCAUGACUAAGAGAUAUUUAUUUCUACUAAAAUUGCACCAACUUUUCAUCACUAUUCAACCAUUUAGUAUCGAUUAUCAAAUGGGUCGAAAGUGCUUGGCAUAUAGCUGAAUCAGGUAAUCAUUUGGGCAGUAAAAACUAGAAAGCCAUACAUAUUAGCAUUUUCAACUACUUAACGACCAAUUUCGUGGUUGAUACAACCCACUCAACGACUCUCUAUUGUCGGUUGCAAAUGCUGACCAAAUUUCGACUGAAUAAUACUCCCCCAAUUCACUACUAAUAUCUUAUUUGCUUUAUAGAUUCUAUCCAAUGCACUUAUUUAAUUCUUAAUAUUUCUAAUUGUGCAUAAUUAAAGAUUAUUAAAAGUUGAUAUGAAUAAUUUUUACAUUGAGACGAAUCAAACAAAAUACCACUUGACUAUGUUUUAACUUAUAGAUUAAUAAUAAAAUGCAAAUUAAAAGUAAGAUGAAUAGUGUCCAAAAAGCAAAUGGACAUUAGUGUUGGAAGGAGUAUUAGCCACCGUGCUAAACCCGUCCACUCAAAGUAGUCGGUAACUGAUUGCCAGACUACUUUAGGUGGUCGUGUCUCACUCGUUAUACGGAGUGAUUCUAACUUGGGGUUCAAUUACCAACAUAAAAGCUUUUAACUUUGGUUCGAAAUUAGAGACAGAGGGAAGGAAAUGGGUUGGAUCUGAAUCGAGACUAAGUAGACCCGAAUCCAGAUGCUGGUCCAAAUUUUUAAGAUCCAUAUCCGUAUUUGUGGAUCUGACGGAUUCAGGAUCGGGUCCGGGUCAAAGCUAGUUAUCAAACAAAGACUUCAAAUUAACACUUACAACUAGCACUUAUCACCAAAUUAAACCCUAAAACAAUCAAUUACAUAAGCAGGAAAAAAAAAUUCAAAAAGCCCCAAAAUUUUAACCCUAAAAAUCGAAAAUCAAAUAUCAAUAUUAAACCCUAAAAUAAUCAAUUACAUAAGCAAGAAAAAAAUCAAAACGCCCCAAAAUUUUAACCCUAAAAGUCGAAAAUCAAAUAUCAUGAAAAAUAUAAUUGAAAAAUCUUGAAAAAUUGCUAACCCAAAAAUUCGAAAAUCAAAAAUCAUGGAAAAUCAAUUUACACCUUAAUAAUCAAAGUACAACUGAUAAAUCAAACCCAUUAUAUCAAAAUCAUCAAAAAUACUAUAGAGAAGAGAGAGAAAAUCCCUAAAAUUAACCGUAAAAAUUCUACAAUAAGCCAGAAAAAAAAUCACAAGAGAAGAGUAUUGACCGGCAGUGGUUAGGGCUGCAGUGAGAAUGAGACAAAGAAGUACAGCGAGAACAAUAGACCUGCCUGCGGUGGUUGGGAGCAGUGAGACAGAGAGGAGCAGUGAACCAACAAAAUCAUCGAACCGGCAAGAUAGAGGGUGGAUGAGUGUUUGAGGGAGAAAGAGACACAAGCUGGGAAUUGGGUAAGUGCCACUGCGGGAUUCCUUUAGUUUUUUCAAUACGACCAAAUUUACUCAUUAGGGAUAAGACUUGGGAAUUAGGACAUUUUAUUAUAUUUAUCCACAUUUUAUUUAUCUAGUUGAAAGACUUUUUGAGCUUUUUUUUUUUUUUUGAUUUAAAUUGUCUUUGUUCUUCUCUUGUUAAACCCUGACUAUAAUUUAUAUGAGUGGAAUAUAAUAGGUAAGAUGGUGAUUAUGAUCCUAAAAAAAGGCAUUUUAUUUUAUUUUCAUUAAUACAGAUUUUUAGGAUUUACGGAUCUAAAUCUAGAUACUUUUAUGAGAACCAGACUCAGAUUCGUCAAUUUUACGGGUUCAUAAAAUGGACCUAUACCUGGCAAAACGGAUUCAGAUCGGGUCUAGGAUCCAUUGUUAUCUCUUGAUACAACGAUGCUCGUCUUAUGGAGUGAAAUUGAAAAUGUGCUGGGAGGUGGAGCAGCUAGAAUACAACAAGCAAAGUGAUAUUUCAAGAUGAUAAUCAUCAGAAGCAUAGGAUCUAAAUGACUUACUAGUAAUGGACUGAGGACUGAGGGGAACCGGAACAUCACUAAUUUUAUAGACUUAUUAAAAAUCACUUAAAUGAGAUUUUCUUUUUUUUAUUUUGUAAAUUAUCAUUUCAGACAAUUUGCUGUUAUUCAAUGAAAUUGUAACUAUCAAAUCUAGUGGAAAAUCUCCUCUAAUUUUCUCAUAUUACAUGUAAAAUGAAUUAUUUCUCACAUUUUUCUUCAAAGAAGAAUGGUAUUAGCAUGUA